UCCGGUUUGUCACCGGCAGUCUCAUUAGAGUGCCCAACUCAAUGUAGCAACUAAUGACAAGGGUUGCGCUCGUUGCGGGACUUAACCCAACAUCUCACGACACGAGCUGACGACAGCCAUGCAGCACCUGUGUUACGGCUCUCUUUCGAGCACGAAGCUAUCUCUCCCAAAUUCGGUACAUGUCAAGGCCAGGUAAGGUUUUUCGCGUUGCAUCGAAUUAAUCCACAUAAUCCACCGCUUGUGCGGGCCCCCGUCAAUUCAUUUGAGUUUUAAUCUUGCGACCGUACUCCCCAGGCGGUCUACUUCACGCGUUAGCUGCGUUACUCAUGGAUUUUACUCCACCAACAACUAGUAGACAUCGUUUAGGGCGUGGACUAC
rnacentral:misc_RNA from 1 species